AUUGAACGCUGGCGGCAGGCCUAACACAUGCACGUCGAACGAGUGGCGGACGUGUGAGUAAUGUCUGGGAAACUGCCUGAUGGCGUGGGAUAACUACUGGAAACGGUCGCUAAUACCGCAUACCAUCAGAUGUGCCCAGAUGGGAUUAGCUGGUUGGUGGGGUAACGGCUCACCAAGGCGACGAUCCCUAGCUGGUCUGAGAGGAUGACCAGCCACACUGGAACUGUGACACGGUCCAGACUCCUACGGGAGGCAGGAGUGGGAAAUAUUGCACAGUGGGCGCAAGCCUGAUGCAGCCAUGCCGAGUGGAAGAAGAAGGCCUUCGGGUUGUAAAGGACGUUCAGCGGGGAGGCGUUACCCGCAGAAGAAGCACCGGCUAACUCCGUGCCAGCAGCCGCGGUAAUUC
rnacentral:rRNA from 1 species